GUGGGGAAUAUUGGGCAAUGGGGGCAACCCUGACCCAGCGACGCCGCGUGGGUGAAGAAAUCCCUCGGGAUGUAAAGCCCUGUUGUAUGGGAAGAGCAGAAGACGGUACCAUACGAGGAAGCCCCGGCAAACUACGUGCCAGCAGCCGCGGUAAUACGUAGGGGGCAAGCGUUGUCCGGAAUUACUGGGCGUAAAGCGCACGCAGGCUGAAUUAUAAGUCGGUAGUCAAAUACGGAGGCUCAACUUCCGGAUAUCUAUCGAUACUGUAAAUCUAGAGUAUGUGAGAGGGAAGCGGAAUUCCCGGUGUAGCGGUGAAAUGCGGAGAUAUCGGGAGGAACACCAGUGGCGAAGGCGGCUUCCUGGCACAAUACUGACGCUCAUGUGCGAAAGCUAGGGCAGCGAACGGGAUUAGAUACCCGUGUAGUCC
rnacentral:rRNA from 1 species